GGUGGUUCUCGGGUGAUGCACCCCAGAAUCAAGCUCCGUCCUCUCUGGUUCCGGGUGCGUCCCCCGAGAACCACA
rfam:Myotis brandtii contig248600, whole genome shotgun sequence.